rnacentral:rRNA from 1 species
GGUGGUCAUAGCGGGAAGGAAACACCCGGUCCCAUUCCGAACCCGGAAGUUAAGCUUUCCAGCGCCGAUGGUACUGCCUCCUUGCUGGGGUGGGAGAGUAGGACGCCGCC